UACGUAGGGUGCGAGCGUUAAUCGGAAUUACUGGGCGUAAAGAGCGCGCAGGCGGUCGAUUUAGUCGCGUGUGAAAGCCCCCGGCUCAACUGGGGAGGGUCACGCGAUACUGAUCGACUCGAAGGCAGGAGAGGGUAGUGGAAUUCCCGGUGUAGUGGUGAAAUGCGUAGAUAUCGGGAGGAACACCAGUGGCGAAGGCGACUACCUGGCCUGUUCUUGACGCUGAGGCGCGAAAGCUAGGGGAGCAAACGGG
rnacentral:rRNA from 1 species